AUAGGAAGCACCGUCCGCUUCUGAAAUCUCGCGUCUCGAAUCUGGUGUCUGAUGUCUCGGCUCCGCUCCCUUUCCAUACUUCCGCUCCCGUAGAAAUGGAGACGAAAGAAGAAAACGAGCAGCUGAAUAAAACAAGGGGAGGAUUUUGGACAUGGGUGAUGGCCUCAGUAAUCUUCAGGCUUAUUCUCAUUUAUUUCCCCCAAAAUCUCAACUUGUCCUCUCGUCCCGAAGUCUCCACUCCUCUCACCAGCCUCCGUCGCCUGGCUGAGGGUUACUGGUUGAAGCAAGCCUCGAUGUCUCCAUAUGCAGGAUCUAUGUACCACGGUUCUCCAUUGUUACUAUCAGUACUUGGGCCACUUACUGUUAAGAGCAUUGAAGGGCAACCUGAUCAUGUGUUAUGCAGUGUGCUUUUUGUCAUUGCAGAUAUUAUGAGUGCUUUGCUUAUUCGUGCUACUGGUUGGAAACUACAAAUGGCAUACAAAAAGAGCUUGGAAGCACUUGGUAUCAUUAAUAGACUGGUAACUUCAGGAGAUAUUGCUGCUCUUGUGUACUUAUGGAAUCCAUUCACAAUUGUUGCAUGUGUGGGUUUGUCAACAUCCCCAAUUGAAAAUUUGUUCAUCAUCUUGACACUUUAUGGAGCCUGUACACGACUAGUUCCCCUAGCAGCUUUUGGAUGGGUUAUGGCAACUCAUUUGUCUCUUUAUCCAGCAAUUCUAAUUAUUCCAGUGAUUCUUUUAUUGGGAUAUGGUCCAGAUGCUCCUCCUAGGAAGCUGUUUCUGCAGAAGGGAUAUUGUAAAACUGGGGAUAAAAACUCUAGUCAUGUUCAUUGUGCACAAGAGGAAAUGAUCAACAGAUCAAAAGAACAAAUUAUCUUUUCAAGGAGACCAGUCGUGCUGUUCUUUUUCUGGGCAACUCUGUGGUCAAUCUAUGUGUUGGUUCUAUGUAGCAUAUCUGUCAAGCAGUAUAGUAGCCUAUGGGAGAUGUUUCAAAGAACAUAUGGGUUCAUUCUUACGGUGGAAGAUAUGUCUCCAAACAUGGGUGUUCUAUGGUAUUUCUUUGCUGAAGUUUUUGAUUUCUUCAGAAACUUCUUUUUGAUAGUUUUCCAUGUGAAUAUUUUGUUUAUGGUAUUGCCUUUAGCCAUAAGGCUAAACCAUCGGCCUUGCUUCUUGGCUUUUGUCUACAUUGCCAUCUCAUCAAUGCUUAAGUCAUAUCCAUCGGUUGGAGAUUCAGCUCUAUACUUAGGUUUACUGGUUUUGUUUCUUGAUGAAUUGGCAGGUCAGUUGAUAUGCAGUUCUCUUUCUUCAUCUUUUGUGGAUAUGUUGGGAUUUCCCUCCUUAGCCCUGUGAUGCACAACCUUUGGAUUUGGAGGGGCACUGGCAAUGCAAACUUCUACUUUGCAACUGCAAUUGCCUAUGCUUGCUUGCAGAUUAUUUUGGUGGUUGAGAGCGUUGGCGCCAUGCUUAACCAUGAUAGGAAGCUAAGAAAGCUAUCUGUCGCAAAUCUUCAAGAUGACGAAUCUUGAGCACUUGUGGAAACCAGGAUACUUUUAUUCCAAUGCAGCACGUUCUGGCCCUUGAAAGUUCAAACCCCGAGAAAACUUUUGCUGGUAACGAUCUUUUUCUCGUUGCAGCCUGUUGCCCAUAUUCUGCAGAAGCUUGGUUUUGCAUAAUGUAACAUUAACACAUUGAAUUGAACAACAUAUAUCACAAGUCAUUUUAAUUUUUUUUUUUUUUUUUCUGAUACGUUUUCUAACUACAGCUUGUUAUAGUUCUGUUAUACAGAGGAUUGUUCUAUUCAAUCAACUACAAUUGUCUAUGCAUCUGUAAUGUAAUGUAUUGAGCGCUA